GAACGCUGGCGGCGUGCUUAACACAUGCAAGUCGAACGGAAAGGCCCAAGCUUGCUUGGGUACUCGAGUGGCGAACGGGUGAGUAACACGUGGGUGAUCUGCCCUGCACUUCGGGAUAAGCCUGGGAAACUGGGUCUAAUACCGGAUAGGACGAUGGUUUGGAUGCCAUUGUGGAAAGUUUUUUCGGUGUGGGAUGAGCUCGCGGCCUAUCAGCUUGUUGGUGGGGUAAUGGCCUACCAAGGCGUCGACGGGUAGCCGGCCUGAGAGGGUGUACGGCCACAUUGGGACUGAGAUACGGCCCAGACUCCUACGGGAGGCAGCAGUGGGGAAUAUUGCACAAUGGGCGCAAGCCUGAUGCAGCGACGCCGCGUGGGGGAUGACGGCCUUCGGGUUGUAAACUCCUUUCGCUAGGGACGAAGCGUUUUUGUGACGGUACCUGGAGAAGAAGCACCGGCUAACUACGUG
rnacentral:rRNA from 1 species